GGUCGAUUAGCUCAGCUGGGAGAGCACCUCCCUUACAAGGAGGGGGUCACUGGUUCGAGCCCAGUAUCGACCACCA
rnacentral:tRNA from 118 species